AAAAAUUCCAGCAAGAGAGUUGAGCCUUUUAGAGAGUGAAAAGAGUUUUCUAAAAUGCCAAAAAAGAAAAAAAGUGAGAGAGAGAAAGGAAAAUGAAAGAAAGAAGAAAAAGCAAAAGGAAAAAGAAAUCCCUCCUGUUCUCAUAUCAAAAGCAAAGACAGGGAGUUUUGUCUGUAAACCCCAAGUAGAGAAAACAACUAGAAGAGAGAGUGGAAAAGGCUCCUGGUCAGAGAGGCAGACGCCGAAGGAGACCAAGGCAGAGAAAGAAGGUGUCCUGGCUUAGCCCUAACUAAAACCGGAACGUGGCGAUGGCAAGUAUAGUUGGGUGUGGUGUUUGAAGGCUGUGAAAAAAUACAUAAAAGAGAAACUGUUCAGAAUUCCAGCACAGCGGGACUUGUUUUUCUCUUCCCUGGGCACUGCCUGGGAAGAUUAAAGGCCACCUCAGAAAAGUGCUUGGUCCAAGAUGGGACACUCCAGGCCAGCACCACUCAAAGUGCAGUCCUGAGAAGGUGCUGGCCUGCAAUUCUUUGUUGUGGCCUCCAGUCCAUCCUGAGAAAUACUGGUCUGCAAGGGAUGGUGCGGAGAACCCAUUACAGUUUGAGAAGCAUUGUUCUGUAGGCUGUAUUACAAGUGGCUGAGUGAGGGCUCAAAUAGAGGGAUGGAAGUCAGACUCUCCACUUCUCCAACUCUCCCCGCACUCUUGAGUCUCAUGUACCACGGAAGGAAUCCAGAAAGCACUCUGGAAUUUUGCCUCUAUGUUGCUGCCAUGACUAUAAUGGAUCCAUCCAGCUGGGUCCCUGAGAGCAGUCUGUAAGCCGCUAACGACCAGUGGCUGAACCUGAGGGAGCUACAACAAUGGCGGUGGAGGAGUGGAGAACAUUACCAACUCCAGUCCAGUCCUGUUUCUUAAACCGUCUAUUUUAAUCCUGUCUAUCCCUGCCCUUCCUGAUGUUAUGUUUCCAAGUAAUCCCAGUCUUUCACGCUCUGAAAAGAGAUGCGUCUCUGUGACCCUGCGUAGCAUUAUGGAAAGAGAGGGAGAGCUGAGUCUGUUUUGUCAUUUCUGAUGGUGUGAAGAUGGGCAGGUGAGUGUUCUUUAAUGCCUCUGUGCGUUACUUUCCUCAUCUUGAGAAUGGGAUGAUAAAAUCUAUCUUUUAGGUGUUCGUUGUGAGGGUUAAAUGUGGCAGAUAUAUAGUAGGUACUCAAUCAUUAAUAGGAAUAAUUGUAUAUUCUCUACCCCUUUCUCAAAUACCUGGUGAAAACUGUAUUCAGGGGUGAGGAUUCUUUUGCUCCAGCUCAGACCUCUUCAGUUCCACUAUGUUUAUCUUAGUCACCUAGGCAAAUGGGUAGCAGCUGUUUUUGCAUUAAUGGUAAAGACAGAAGAUUCUCUCCCCUACAGGACUCAGAUGAGUUCCAUUCUGAGACACCCCUUUGAUCCAAUCUCAUGGACAUUUUGUGUAUUUAUGCCACUGUCCUCAAAGCAAGCCUCUCCAAAGCUGGUGCUUUGCCCCUGCAUACUCUUCCUUCUCGUUGACUUCCCUCCUAAUCUUUACAAUAUAUUCUAUGAAAGUUUUAUUUUAUUGUAUGUAACUCUCUCUUAGUCCCCAUGCUUUGAUUGAACUUUGCUUCUGCCACAAAGACACCAAUUCUCUUCUUGUUAUAAAUUCCAGACUUGGUUACCA